CAAAAAAAAAAAAGAAAGAAAAUUGUCACAGAGCAAGUGCAGCAUGCCACUGCAGUAUGCCCCGCAGGGCCCAAUCUUUGGAAACAUUUGUGUGUGCUUUCCUGAAUCUCGAAUCUUGAGGGCUGCCUGCUCCGAUGUAUCAACAGGACCCACCAGGAGGCUUGGUUUCUCCAGAAAGAGGCUCCCUCUCCAAAACUCGCCAUGGCCGCACUCCUGUACCCAAGAGAUUUUAACUCAAAGGUUAACAUUUUUCCCAGCUUGCCCUUUGCUUCUGUGUACUUUCUGGGUCUUCAGAGUUUCCUGAUCUUCUCUAGACCACUGCCCUGGACCUCCCCAGAGAAUCACUUCCUCUUCUUCUUUUUUUUUUUUAACUCCCUAAAGCACAAAACAACAUGACAACAAACAAAAACCUUAGGGCUCCCCUUCUCCCCCACACAUAUCUUCCAAGGGAAAGAUGAGGGGAAUAUUCUCCUAGAGCACAAAAUCUCAGAUUCCUGAUAAAUACAAACUAGAAAUUGGAAAAGCCAAUGACAACAUACAAGCUAUGGUCUUAAUUCAUGGCUAGCGGUACUAGGAACCGUUCCUGUCUUAUAAUCAGUAAGGACUCGGAAGAAUUUUCCCUUCUAUGACACAAAGCUGCUUGCCAAAUUGCAGUGGUGGCUCUGAGACAAGAGCAAGAUCCGAGCAGGAUGGCCAUGACAUCAAAAUGAGUGUGCAUCUGUCAUGAAAAAUCCAAAUCCAAAGAUUUAUCAGAAGAUUGCCAUCUACUAACCCUACUUUCCAGGUUAAUAAUUUAACUCCAAUGCAUCUCUCACACCCAAUAAAAACCUUAGUAUGAGGGGAAAAAUAGCAUUUUCUGAACAUUAAAUCAUCAUUUCAGGCACUUUAUAACCUUAGCAAAGUCAUGCUAAGAGUGUUUCCAGUGCUUUCUAAACAACAAUAACUUUUUCGCUUCAGGGGACAAGAGUUGGUCAUUUUUGCAUCCUUUGUCAAUGACAUUUCUUUGUACUGUGCCUUAUUUUUCAAAAAAGGAAAACAGAACCUUUCGAAUUGAUCAUUUCCACCUCCGGGCUUUAAUAAUACUAAUACUAAUAGCCUCAGCUAACAUUUAAAUAUCCAUGGCACAUGGCGGUAAGCACUAUUUUACAGACAAGGAGACCGAUACCCAAGGAUUGAAGCUAUUUGUCCAAGGACACACAGUGAAUAAGCAGUAAAGGGAGGAAUCAGGUGCAAGCAGUCUGGUUCCAAGUCCAGGAUCCUAACUGCUACUGCCUCUCAAGUAGAGUCCUGAGCCUUAAACACCCCUUAGGCAAAAUUUAAACUUUGUUAAACUUCCUCUUGCCCAGGUAACACCGAUGAUAAACCAUGCGGCCAAAUGCCUUCGGUGGGAUUUAUUCCAAAUGUGUCUAGGAUCACAUGCACAAAUGUGUGGCCCUAAUUGGCCAGGACAGUGAGUGAAAGUGCCUUCCAGACUCCCCAGAGGUAACAUGCAGCCACUACAGAUGGCUCCUUCAACAAGCAACUCAGCUUGAAGGUCACAAGACAAAAAGCCAUUCUGUAAUGGUGAGGGCACCCAGGGACUGGGGCAACCAACUUCAGCCAGGAGACUUGCCGCUGCCCCAAGCCGACUUGGUCAAAUCCAUCGGAGGAAGAAAAGAACAGAAGGGUACACAAGAAGUUCUGCUAACUCAUUCACCUCUGCCAGUGCAGACAACUCUAGAAGUGAAGGUUCAUGAGACUUCCCUCAGCAGAGCUCCUUCCUGCUCUCCUUGCGCAGCUCAGGUACGCCCUUUCUAGGAGAGUGGUCAACACAAAUGAGGCGGGAGCUCAGUUGAAGAAUUGCUGGAAAGGACAAACAAAAUUAUCUAAUCAGAAGGAGCUGUGGAACCACAUGGGUUUUAAACAUAACUC